rfam:Bombyx mori DNA, contig: Bm_scaf41_contig23594, strain: p50T/Dazao, build 2, whole genome shotgun sequence.
CUAACUCAAAUUUGUAUAGAGUUGGAACGUUUGCCUACGUUUGCCGCUAGGGGUACUGUUCUAACUGCAUACAAAGUUAACUUU